AACGGUUGUACCAUGCUGAAUAUACCGGUUCUCGUUAGAUCACCGAAGUUAAGCAUCAUUGGGCGCGGUCAGUACUUGGGUGGGUGACCACCUGGGAACACUGCGUGCCGUU
rnacentral:rRNA from 1 species